CCCAAACCAUCUCGCCACCAAAUCCACUACUAAAAGAAUGCUACAUGCCUAAUUGUAGUUUCAUAUCAUACUAGGUCUCCAACGACCUACCAUUUCCUGAUUCCAAACACGUUGUGUCCCUCCCAUAGAGAAAAACCAUCCAAAGAUACAAACACAAUGUCUUGAUCUAACAUCACAACUAAAUUCGUUCCCUUAUGCUUGAAACCUGCAAUUGAUUCCGUCGGCAUAAAGGUGAUGGGUUUUGAGCAUUCUAGCACUUCCUAAGUGUACAUGCAAACCUAAUAACCUUGGAUCUAUGUUUGUCUAAUAAUCAUGCAAAGUUGUUUUCCAAGGUUAUGAACCUAUCUAGCAUACAUGGGGUACAAUUUUCUUUGUAUAAAAGAUAGAACUACAUACCUUGUUGUUGAAAGUGUUCCUUGAAACCUUGUGAGCCUAGCACCUCAAGUGUGAUGCCUCAAAUGCUUCACACAACACCAAAUGCAAAGAGUAAACUUGAGAGAAUACUCUAACACAUGCAAAAAUCGGCCAAGCCCUCUUAUUUCUUAGUGUAACCGAUUUUGGGGAGAGAUACAUUGCUUAUAUAGUAUGUUGCAUUAGGUAAACCCUAAUGUUCCAUGACUCUUCAUUUCUUGAUCCAUCCACUUUAGAGAAGAGUUAGGGGCAAGUACAACACGAGCUCGUAAGUCAAGUACGGAAUGAGCCUUGUCUACGAAGCAGAGCGACCUCGUCUUCCUUGCUUCUGGCGAAGCUUCUAGCACUGGAUAAUAGGCAUGGCAGGAAUACGACUUUUUAGGUCGACCACUACACUACAUAGAAGCAAUAGCGAAGCCAAGCCGUAUUAAGGCAAGCAGCCCUUAUAGCAAUAGCAAACGGAA
rnacentral:lncRNA from 1 species